ACCACCAUCACUACCAUCACAUACGCUUGCCACCACAGCCGCCGCUGCAUGGCGUCAAAGCUUGAGUGGCAUCUUAACAAUGGAAGGAAUACAAUCCCAAGGAGCCCUUCGCAUAGCAAGAUGCAUCUUCCAAGGAGACUGGACCUCCCCAAGGCGUGUCAGCAGACCUACGAGAUUCAUGAGCCGCUCCGCUUAAUAGCGACGCCCCACAAGGGUGCCUCGGCCCCUCGCAGAUAUUGAGGUGACCUGAGGUAAUUUACGGCCCAGCUGUUGACAUCAGCCGCGCGUGGCCCGAGGUGUGGCCCGCAGACCGCCGUUCUAGCCGAAGCCGGAGACCAAAGCCGACGCAUCAAAGUGACCGCCACGUGCAAUAGAGGUGGCGGCCGGCGGCGUUCCGUUUUGGGGGGACCUCGAGCCUUCCUCAUCACUUCUUGGGCCUGAAAUACACCGAGAGGAGAAGAUUGCGGCUAAAAACAAGACGGAGAGGCCGAUGAGGAGGCGUCGUGUGCAGCGCAGGAAGGAGAUGGAUGAUGGAGGUGAUAGAUCCCAAGGUGGUGGCUGAUCGCCCUCACUACUACUACACUAUCACUACUACUACUACUACUACUACUACUACUACGACUACUACUACUACUACUUCACUACUGCUUAAGGUGCCGGCCCUUGAUUCACCCCUCUCUCCGCCUCACUGACGCGAUAACUGAGCGCUAAUGGAAAGUCCCUGGGGCCCCACAAGGCCAGCUCGAAGCGCUUCGUCGAACGGGACAUGGAACCAGUCGAGCAACCGCGCUAUCAGCCAGGGAGCAGCGGCUGGUCAGUGGGCAUGUACUUACCUCUGGGAUCGCUGGCAAGUCUGUGGGCAUGUAUUUCCUCCUGGAUUGAAGGUUUGGAAUCUUGAGACGGUGACUGGGGGACGAUGACCUGAAGAGAGUCGGUGUCUGAAGUGCUGGUCUUGGUACACCGAAGCAGCACCGAUGUGAAUCCCCGCACGUGUUCCUCGCCCAGUCUGGAGUUAGUUUACUGAGACAUUCAUCUGCCCGAGCAAUGCGGUGUACUAAUGGUGUGCUGCAACUGUCUAGAAAGUCGGUCAAGGCAUGCGUCAUCACCUUGGCUGAAGGUAUUUAUUAAUUAAUCUGCUAAGCUUCAUUCUGUUGACCAUUUUCAAUUGACAAUUCCUGAAUCUCGAUAGUACUGAAAAUGCAAUGCAAUAUAACACCUUGUUUUAAUCUACUGUCAUAUUAGCAAAAUCUGACCCACACAGAAAAUAUUUGUAGUUUGUUCUUCAAAAACUACUACUACUGCCAUGUUUACCUUUUCCAUGGUACUGUGAUGACUUGGACAUGAGAUAAGAAUGGAGGUCUUAUAAACAGAAUUUUGAGAGCAGGAUUGAUGGAUGGGGUAUCAGGGAAAGACCACUUGUGAAAGGGAUCAAUAAUGCAAGGGUACUGGGGAGUUGGUAGGCAAGGGAUUGAGUGUGCCGAGUGCCAGAACGGGAGAGUUGGAUGUAGCCAACCCCUCUGACCUGACACUAUAUUGCAAGUGUAAGAAUCAAACCAGCAAGGGAUUUAGUUAGGAAAGUAAACCUCCCGUACUGGAGCAUAUAUGUAGGAGGCUGCCUCUGCCAGCUUUGUAGAUGGGUCAUAGCCAUGAUUUAGAAUUGUUACAACUAUACUUAUCAGGAAUCUUGUGCAAUUUACUUUAAUCGGAUGUAUCUAGUUAUAAAGUUUUACUUUAAUUUUUCUUUUCCCAGAUUGUUGGCAGCAGCAGGCAGUGGUUUUCCUGUCCCAUCACUCCACCACUUGCCUUACAACUGCCCCCACAGACACUCGAGAACCAAGUGUGUCAGACUUGUUGAUUAAGCAGAGUUGCGAGAUUGAUGAGCUUCCAUGUUAUAAGUCCGUUGACUACCUACUUUGAAUUUUAUUUAUUUAUUUAUUUUUUUUUAUUUCUCGACUCAAAACCGUAGGAAAUUCUCCGGAAAUUCUUCCGGGUAUCCAAUAUACAUAUACGGCUAAAUAAAAGCAGCUGCUAAAGAAAUUGUUAUUUUACAUUUUUUGGUGUAUUCAAACUUCUUGCAACUUGACUGCAGAGUUGCUUGCUAAAGAUGCAUAAAAUGAAAAUUGCUCAGAUCUGGUGUGGAGUGAUUUGAGCAUCAAAUGGGUGUACAGAAGAAUGACAUGUUGCAGUAAAAAUUACUUAGGCUGACCACUCUUAUUUGCAUAUUGUCAUCAGGGUAAUUUCUGAUAUUUCUCAUGAACUUCUCAUAAAAUCAAAAGCUAAAAUGAUGCAUCCAGGACCAGAAGGUGGUAUGCACCACCUCACAGAAAAUGGAGCUCAGUAUACCAUUCUCUUCCCCAUACUUUUCUCUGGUAGUGGAUUUACAUAAGCCAUUCUGGUCCUGUUAAAAAAAAACUUCCCUUACUGCCUUCUGAUCCUAGCUAGACACCUCCAAUAUUACUGAAAACACUUUGUCCUAUGUGAAAAUUUUAAAAAUCAUAGUAUUAGCAAUGGUAUUUCAACCAGUCAGACUGAAUUUAUUUUCAUGAUCUAACAUGUGAUGGCUGAGGAUAAAUCACUCCAUGCCAGAUGAAGUCUGUUGUUCUCCAAGAGACAUACACUGAUCUUGAAAUAUGUAUAUCGGCUCAUAUCUCAUCUUGAUAAAGGUAUAUCAACUAGUAUAAGAUCUGUGCCAAAACUACAGCUGACAAAAUGAAUCUUAAAUCAAUAUGACUGUAGAUUACAUGUUUACCAUGCUAGACAUCUAAAAUCACAAAGCUCAGCCAAGGUUAUGAAAGUUGCUCUUCCCACUACAAAGCUGUGGAACUUGUGCCCUCAUAGUUGUGAACUCAAUUCUCUAUCAUACAGCUACCAAGUCCCUACCUACCUUUACCAAAUGUGCAGCUAAAACAAUUCAAAUACAGUUUGAUAUUUUCUCAUGUGAAAUCAGAAAUGAGUCAUUUGCUAAUUGUGGACCACAGGUUGAUGUAGUGAAAUUUUGGAAGAGCUGGUAUUACAAGUCUAUUGCAGAAUACCAGCCUUAUAGGUGUGGUUCUCUGUGCCUUUGUAUUGCUAAAUCCUUUACAUAAUUUAUUCUGCACUUGUAACAUGUUAUUUGCAGUAUAUCUCUACUAUUUUUAAUGUUUUCCAUGUAAAAGGUGAUGUGAAAACUGUGGGAGACAAUGUAAUAAUUCUAUGAUGUUAGUACACAACUACACAUCAUGGUUCUGCAAUAAUUAAUUCAACAACUAGUAUAGUUGUUGAAUACCACAUACAUAACCUACUUAAAUCUGCAGUCAGAUCAAUCAACCACAUCGGUCAAUAAAGCUUAACAUUAAUGUAUGCUACCUUAAUAUGAUAUGUACUUAAUGAUUUCACUUAUGUAUCUUAUCAAAUAAAAAGAAGUUGAU